rnacentral:rRNA from 1 species
UACGAAGGGGGCUAGCGUUGCUCGGAAUUACUGGGCGUAAAGCGCACGUAGGCGGUCUUUUAAGUCGGGGGUGAAAUCCUGGAGCUCAACUCCAGAACUGCCUUCGAUACUGGAAGACUUGAGUCCGGGAGAGGUGAGUGGAACUGCGAGUGUAGAGGUGAAAUUCGUAGAUAUUCGCAAGAACACCAGUGGCGAAGGCGGCUCACUGGCCCAUAACUGACGCUGAGGCACGAAAGCGUGGGGAGCAAACAGG